CCAUUAAAUAAUAAAUAAAACAAUGCUAAUUGCGAUAUUACACAAAGAAUCAACAAUGGGCAUCACCAAAACACAAAAACAAUGAAAUAAUUAAUGAAAAGAAGCCGAUCCAUUCUAUACUGCCAAUAUCGCAAGCAGAAAAGUUGAAACCAAAAUCCAAACCAUCUUACAUGAUCAAGGAAACCUUGCCAGACUCUAAAAACCAAUUCUCUAAUAACCCAU
rnacentral:lncRNA from 1 species